AGUUGCGAAUGCACCGGGACAGGCUCAGUGUGGAAAUCAGUGCAUAUGGCUCUGCCUUGUUAUAUUAUGAUAUGCUACCAACAGAGGUGCAGGAAAACGGCGCCUUUGGGAACUUGCAUUGAUAAGGGUGAGAAUCCUGAAUGCAAUCUGCAAACCUCAGUGUAUGGUGUGUCUUCUAAGAGUCACGUUCCUUGGGAUUGGUAUGCAAAGAAGGUGGUAGUUUUCGUCUAAAGCUAAAUAUUUGUUUGAGACCAGUAGUGAACAAGUACCGUGAGGGAAAUGUGAAACAAAAGCUCUGUGAAGAGAGAUAGAAGUUCCUGAACCUGUUGAAAGGGAAGUGAAGGAAUACAGUGUAUAUUGGUGAGAUUGCUGCAUGCUNNNNNNNNNNNNNNNNNNNNNNNNNNNNNNNACAUGUGUGUAAGCUCACGGGUUCUAAAAAACACCUGCUCGUGCAGUGAACAUGCUGGUUGGGAUGUUUGCACCAGCAACAGGCCACUCACUCAUGAGGGUCUGAGGAUGAGCAUGCCUGAUAGGACCCGAAAGAUGGUGAACUAUGCCAGUGAAGGGCGACCUCAGGGGAAACCCUGAUGGAGGCCUGCAGUGAUACUGACGUGCAAAUCGUUCGUUAUACGUAGGUAUAGGGGUGAAAGACCAAUCGAGUUAUCUAGUAGCUGGUUCCAUCCGAAGUUUCCCUCAGGAUAGCUGGAACUGAACAGCUUUAUCAGGUAAAGCAAAUGAUUAGAGGACUUUGGGGCUUGUUGCCCUGGACCUAUUCUCAAACUCUUAAUACGUGAGAUGCAGUAGCUAUUUGUGUGAGCCCCCAGGACAAGUGGCACUUCCAAGUGGACCAUUUUUGGUAAGCAGAAUUGGUGAUGAGGGAUGAACCUAAUGUCGGGAUAACAUGCUUAGUUGCUUGCUCAUAAGAUACCAUAAAGGGUGUUGGUUCAUUUUAACAGUAGGAUGGUGGUCAUGGAAGUUGAAAUCUGCUGAGGAGUGUGUAACAACUCACU
rnacentral:rRNA from 1 species